UGGUCCGUCGCCAAGCGGUAAGGCAACAGGUUUUGAUCCUGUCAUGCGCUGGUUCGAAUCCAGCCGGACCAGCCA
rnacentral:tRNA from 1 species